UUUAUUGAGAGUUUGAUCCUGGCUCAGGAUGAACGCUGGCGGCGUGCUUAACACAUGCAAGUCGAACGGGGUGCCUUUGAAAGAGGAUUCGUCCAAUUGAGAAGGUUACCUAGUGGCGGACGGGUGAGUAACGCGUGAGUAACCUGCCUUGGAGUGGGGAAUAACACAUCGAAAGAUGUGCUAAUACCGCAUAAUGCAGUUGGGCCGCAUGGCUCUGACUGCCAAAGAUUUAUCGCUCUGAGAUGGACUCGCGUCUGAUUAGCUGGUUGGCGGGGUAACGGCCCACCAAGGCGACGAUCAGUAGCCGGACUGAGAGGUUGACCGGCCACAUUGGGACUGAGACACGGCCCAGACUCCUACGGGAGGCAGC
rnacentral:rRNA from 1 species